rnacentral:rRNA from 1 species
GACAGAGGGUGCAAACGUUGUUCGGAAUUACUGGGCGUAAAGCGCGUGUAGGCGGUCGUGCAAGUCGGGUGUGAAAGCCCGGGGCUCAACCCCGGAAGUGCAUUCGAUACUGCAUGGCUAGAGUACCGGAGAGGGUGGUGGAACUCUCGGUGUGGAGGUGAAAUUCGUAGAUAUCGAGAAGAACACCGGUGGCGAAGGCGGCCACCUGGACGGAUACUGACGCUGAGACGCGAAAGCGUGGGGAGCAAACAGG